GUAGGGAAUAUUGGGCAAUGGAUGCAAGUCUGACCCAGCCAUGCCGCGUGGAGGAAGAAGGUCCUCUGGAUUGUAAACUCCUUUUUUGGGGGAAGAAUAGUUCUCUUGCGAGGGAAUGUGACGGUACCCUAAGAAUAAGCCACGGCUAACUACGUGCCAGCAGCCGCGGUAAUACGUAGGUGGCAAGCGUUGUCCGGAUUUAUUGGGUUUAAAGGGUGCGUAGGUGGUUUGAUAAGUCAGUGGUGAAAGCUGGUUGCUCAACAAUCAAGUUGCCAUUGAUACUGUCGGACUUGAGAGAAGUGGAGGUUCAUGGAAUGGAUGGUGUAGCGGUGAAAUGCAUAGAUAUCAUCCAGAACGUCGAUUGCGAAGGCAGUGGGCUGUACUUUAUCUGACACUGAGGCACGAAAGUGUGGGGAUCAAACAGGAUUAGAAACCCCAGUAGUCC
rnacentral:rRNA from 1 species